GACGAACGCUGGCGGCGUGCCUAAUACAUGCAAGUUGAGCGCUGAAGGUUGGUACUUGUACCAACUGGAUGAGCAGCGAACGGGUGAGUAACGCGUGGGGAAUCUGCCUUUGAGCGGGGGACAACAUUUGGAAACGAAUGCUAAUACCGCAUAAAAACUUUAAACACAAGUUUUAAGUUUGAAAGAUGCAAUUGCAUCACUCAAAGAUGAUCCCGCGUUGUUUUAGCUAGUUGGUGAGGUAAAGGCUCACCAAGGCGAUGAUACAUAGCCGACCUGAGAGGGUGAUCGGCCACAUUGGGACUGAGACACGGCCCAAACUCCUACGGGAGGCAGCAGUAGGGAAUCUUCGGCAAUGGACGAAAGUCUGACCGAGCAACGCCGCGUGAGUGAAGAAGGUUUUCGGAUCGUAAAACUCUGUUGGUAGAGAAGAACGUUGGUGAGAGUGGAAAGCUCAUCAAGUGACGGUAACUACCCAGAAAGGGACGGCUAACUACGUG
rnacentral:rRNA from 1 species